rnacentral:rRNA from 1 species
UGCCAGACUCCUACGGGAGGCAGCAGUGAGGAAUAUUGGUCAAUGGGCUUACGCCUGAACCAGCCAAGUCGCGUGAGGGAAGACUGCCCUAUGGGUUGUAAACCUCUUUUGUCAGGGAGCAACGCCGGCUACGUGUAGCCGGACUGAGAGUACCUGAAGAAAAAGCAUCGGCUAACUCCGUGCCAGCAGCCGCGGUAAUACGUAGGGGGCGAGCGUUAUCCGGAUUUACUGGGUGUAAAGGGAGCGUAGACGGUUAAUCAAGUCUGAAGUGAAAGCCCGCGGCUCAACUGCGGAACGGCUUUGGAAACUGAGUAACUGGAGUGCUGGAGGGGCAGGCGGAAUUCCUGGUGUAGCGGUGAAAUGCGUAGAUAUCAGGAGGAACACCGGUGGCGAAGGCGGCCUGCUGGACAGUAACUGACGUUGAGGCUCGAAAGCGUGGGGAGCAAACAGGAUUAGAUACCCGCGUAU